AGAGUUUGAUCCUGGCUCAGAUUGAACGCUGGCGGCAGGCUUAACACAUGCAAGUCGAGCGGAGAUGAGGUGCUUGCACCUUAUCUUAGCGGCGGACGGGUGAGUAAUGCUUAGGAAUCUGCCUAUUAGUGGGGGACAACAUUCCGAAAGGAAUGCUAAUACCGCAUACGUCCUACGGGAGAAAGCAGGGGAUCUUCGGACCUUGCGCUAAUAGAUGAGCCUAAGUCGGAUUAGCUAGUUGGUGGGGUAAAGGCCUACCAAGGCGACGAUCUGUAGCGGGUCUGAGAGGAUGAUCCGCCACACUGGGACUGAGACACGGCCCAGACUCCUACGGGAGGCAGCAGUGGGGAAUAUUGGACAAUGGGGGGAACCCUGAUCCAGCCAUGCCGCGUGUGUGAAGAAGGCCUUAUGGUUGUAAAGCACUUUAAGCGAGGAGGAGGCUACUGAGACUAAUACUCUUGGAUAGUGGACGUUACUCGCAGAAUAAGCACCGGCUAACUCUGUGCCAGCAGCCGCGGUAAUACAGAGGGUGCGAGCGUUAAUCGGAUUUACUGGGCGUAAAGCGUGCGUAGGCGGCUUUUUAAGUCGGAUGUGAAAUCCCCGAGCUUAACUUGGGAAUUGCAUUCGAUACUGGGAAGCUAGAGUAUGGGAGAGGAUGGUAGAAUUCCAGGUGUAGCGGUGAAAU
rnacentral:rRNA from 1 species